AGCGAACGCUGGCGGCAGGCCUAACACAUGCAAGUCGAACGAACUCUUCGGAGUUAGUGGCGGACGGGUGAGUAACACGUGGGAACGUGCCUUUUGGUUCGGAAUAACUCAGGGAAACUUGUGCUAAUACCGAACGUGCCCUUCGGGGGAAAGAUUUAUCGCCAUUAGAGCGGCCCGCGUCUGAUUAGCUAGUUGGUGAGGUAACGGCUCACCAAGGCGACGAUCAGUAGCUGGUCUGAGAGGAUGACCAGCCACACUGGGACUGAGACACGGCCCAGACUCCUACGGGAGGCAGCAGUGGGGAAUCUUGCGCAAUGGGCGAAAGCCUGACGCAGCCAUGCCGCGUGAAUGAUGAAGGUCUUAGGAUUGUAAAAUUCUUUCACCGGGGACGAUAAUGACGGUACCCGGAGAAGAAGCCCCGGCUAACUUCGUG
rnacentral:rRNA from 1 species